UUCUUCAGAGUGUGGCGCGCGCACACACUUGCUUUUUCAGAUAAUUGAGUUUUGAGAGGAAACAUUUUUUAUUAAAAAAUGAAUAUUAAACUUUGUUGACGUUUCUCUACCUUUGAUACUAGUCAUACAGGGUUACAGAAUGGGAUCCAUCUCUCAGCAAUUACAUGAAAGAGUUAGAAAAGUCCAAGCCUGUCAUUCUGACUGGUGAUCUGAACUGUGCUCAUGAGGAGAUAGAUAUUUAUGACCCUGCUUUAUGAAUGAGUUGCCGAGAAAUAUUCAAGAUGACGUGCUAUGGUGUAUACUUUUUGUAGACGAUAUCGUGCUAGUGGAUGAGACUAGAGGAGUUAACACAAAGUUGGAAAUUUGGAGAAAAGCACAUGAAUCUAAAGGAUUUCGGAUAAACAGAACUAAGACAGAGUACAUGGAGUGUAAAUUUAGUAACAGUAACAAUAAUAGCAGAUGAGAAGUGAAGAUUGAGAACCAAAACCUGCUUAAGAGUGAAAAUUUUCGUUAUUUAAGGUCGAUUAUCACAACAGUAGGGGAGAUUGAUGUGGAUGUGGCCCAUAGGAUUAAGACGGGAUGGUGUAAGUGGAGAAGCGCAUCUGGGAUAUUGUGCGAUAAACGAAUACCCACUAGACUAAAAUGUAAGUUCUAUAGAACGGGUAUUAGACCAGUGAUAUUGUAUGGGAUGGAGUGUUGGGCAACUAAGAAACAAAAUGUAGAUAAGAUAAGUGUGGCUGAGAUGAGGAUGCUAAGGUGGAUGUUUGACAAGACUAGACAAGACAGAAUUAGGAAUGAGUGUAUUCGAG